GAUGAACGCUGGCGGCGUGCCUAAUACAUGCAAGUCGAGCGAACAGACGAGGAGCUUGCUCCUUUGACGUUAGCGGCGGACGGGUGAGUAACACGUGGGUAACCUACCUAUAAGACUGGGAUAACUUCGGGAAACCGGAGCUAAUACCGGAUAAUAUUUCGAACCGCAUGGUUCGAUAGUGAAAGAUGGCUCUGCUAUCACUUAUAGAUGGACCUGCGCCGUAUUAGCUAGUUGGUAAGGUAACGGCUUACCAAGGCAACGAUACGUAGCCGACCUGAGAGGGUGAUCGGCCACACUGGAACUGAGACACGGUCCAGACUCCUACGGGAGGCAGCAGUAGGGAAUCUUCCGCAAUGGGCGGAAGCCUGACGGAGCAACGCCGCGUGAGUGAUGAAGGUCUUCGGAUCGUAAAACUCUGUUAUUAGGGAAGAACAAACGUGUAAGUAACUGUGCACGUCUUGACGGUACCUAAUCAGAAAGCCACGGCUAACUACGUG
rnacentral:rRNA from 1 species